rnacentral:misc_RNA from 1 species
GUUGGUGAACCAGCGGAGGGAUCAUUAAAAGAGUUAUAAAACUCCAAACCUUUGUGAAUUAUACCUGUUCAGUUGCUUCGGCAGGCGGCCCCAGGGCGGGGCCUCGGGCUGUUAGGCGCCUGCCGGAGAAAUAAAGACUCUUCGUUACAGUGUCUCUCUGAGUCCUACAUAAAUAAGUCAAAACUUUCAACAACGGAUCUCUUGGUUCUG